rnacentral:rRNA from 1 species
UAAGGAAUCUUCGGCAAUGGACGAAAGUCUGACCGAGCAACGCCGCGUGAGUGAAGAAGGUUUUCGGAUCGUAAAACUCUGUUGGUAGAGAAGAACGUUGGUGAGAGUGGAAAGCUCAUCAAGUGACGGUAACUACCCAGAAAGGGACGGCUAACUACGUGUCAG